GACGAACGCUGGCGGCGUGCUUAACACAUGCAAGUCGAACGAAGUGGCGAAAGGGUGAGUAACGCGUAAUCAACCUGCCCUCCCGAGGGGGAUAACAGUUGGAAACGACUGCUAAUACCGCAUACUGAAGGUGGGGAUUGCGUCUGAUUAGGUAGUUGGAGGGGGAACGGCCCACCAAGGCGCUGAUCAGUAGCCGGUCUGGGAGGGUGAACGGCCAAAUUGGGCCUGGGGCACGGCCCAGACUCCUACGGGAGGCAGCAGUGGGGAAACUUCCGCAAUGGGUGAAAGUCUGACGGAGCAACGCCGCGUGAGUGAUGACGGCCUUCGGGUUGUAAAGCUCUGUUGAUCGGGACGCGGUACCGAAAUAGAAAGCCACGGCUAACUACGUGCCAGCAGCCGCGGUAAUUC
rnacentral:rRNA from 1 species